GUUCCUUUCACAGUAGCACGGUGGAGAGUUAGACCACCUGAGUUCAAAUCCUCAUUUGGCUACUGUCUAGCUGUGCAGGUGAAGUCACUCAAACUCUCCAGGCCUCAGCAUCCUUAAAAUAGGUUACUAGGAUAGUGUCUAGCACACGGCGUAGGCUGCUAUUUGAUUAUCAUCACUAGCCCCUUGUUACCAGGAACUCAUGUAGGGGCAGAGGACUGGCCUCAAGGGCAGGAUAAACUCCUUUCUCUGCCUGUGAUUCUGACCAUAGCUGGAUCUUCUAAAAGGGCAGGUUGCUAUAUUUAUUAUUCUUUCUCUCCAAGUUCUCUGCACAAGAACUCUGCGUUCCUUACAGGCAGCAGUGGCUUGACUCUAGCUCUUGGGGGAUACUCUUAAUCUUUGCUUGCUGUGAGCACAUGAGGCAGUCUUCAUGAGAGGUUACAACGUCCCCGGGAUGCCGGGCUAGGAUACAAAUGAUGCUGGUGCCUGGGGGAGUGUGGGGCUCCGAGAAUCACCACACGGAGGUUCUGUGCUCUAAGUGAAGAUGCUCUGUGAUAAGGACAGUGAGGGACGGGUCCUCUCCAAAGGUGGGAAUUCACUGAAUAGGUCAAAUAUUCCCCUGCAACCCUCUUUCUGCUCAGCAGAUCCUGUCUGCAGGGAAGAUGUGGGUUUAAGCAGCUCCCUGUCUGCCAGCUUAAGGUGGCUGGAGCUGCUGGUGGGAACCUUGAGGGGAAUACGAAUGACAGAAAAAACCUGCAGUGUACUCCGCACUCAUACAGGCACAAAACCAGGAAGGCAGCAGGGACUACUGCAAAAAACCCCACUUGGAACACCCCUCCAUGCCUCAGUUUCCCUACCUGAACAAUAAAAGUGACGUCUGCCCUAGUAAAGCCAAUGCCCACACAGCCUGGCACAGAGAAGAUCAAACACGAACAGCAUCCCAGUCACACAUCAGGGGCACCUCGGCUAUGAGCUUGGAACUGUGUCCCUGCCUUCCCUGUGUCAGUGGUUUGGGAAGCAGCAUACCAUCUCUACACGGUGGCUCUAGUGACCUCAGUGAUUCGUUUAACCAUUUAGGGGCAUUCAUUCAUAUUUGUGCUCUCUGCUGCUAGGUGUGGGGAGGGGUGGAGGAAGAAGCCACCAUCCUGGCUUGGAGGAAGCAGAGCAGGAAGGGGUGCCCAUUUUGGGGCCACUCUCAGGGCUCAUGCCAGGUUUGGCCACCAUGUGAUAAGGUGACCUGCAGGUCUGGCCUUGGAUUUCUGCAGAGGUUUGUUGGAAAGGCAUCACUUAGGAGGCUGGCAGGCCAGGAGAAAGUCUCACCUGGAAGCGGUGGAAGUCCUGUGGCUUGAAGUCAUUGGGGGAGCAGCCGCACCAGUCCACGAUGUGCUUGUACUGGCACUUGCAGCCCAGCUUGCGAUUCCAGUUGGUGAUGCGCAGGUUGUUGUCCACCAUGGUGUCGCAGUGGGGGCUGUUCUCCAGGACCGUAUGGAAGAAGGACUGCAGGGGAGAGAGGGGCCUAGCCUGAGAUCUCUCCCAGCCUCCCACAAAGGGACUGGGGUGGGAAAGGGUUAACUCUUGCUCUGAGUUCACGUAAGAACUGGUGGUUUUAAAGAAGCUGGGCCGCUUUCUGUACAGCUUGCAGAACCACAAGCCAAAUAAACGUUUCUUUAUAAAUUA